CCCUUAGACGUUCUGGGCCGCACGCGCGCUACACUGACCAGUGCAACAAGCAUCCGUCCUUGGCCGACAGGCCCGGGCAAUCUUUGAACGCUGGUCGUGAUGGGGAUAGACUUUUGCAAUUUUUGGUCUUCAACGAGGAAUUCCUAGUAAACGCAAGUCAUCAACUUGCAUUGAUUACGUCCCUGCCCUUUGUACACACCGCCCGUCGCACCUACCGAUUGAAUGGUCCGGUGAAGCGUUCGGACCGUGGCCUUUGGACGGUUCGCCGUCUGUUGGCUGCGGGAAGUUCGUUAAACCUUAUCAUUUAGAGGAAGGAGAAGUCGUAACA
rnacentral:rRNA from 1 species